rnacentral:lncRNA from 1 species
UACCUUUUCUAUUAUAAUAUUAAUAUAUAGAUUCUACACCGUACAAUUUACCUUAUCAUGCAAUUCACUAAGAACACAGCACUCUUGACCACAGUUAAACAAGGACAAGAAAAUUGAAAUACGAUAAUUCACAUAUAAGACCAUUACUAAGACGUUUGAAUGUUUGGUUGUGCUCAAUGUUCGUCUAUACUUAACAGUAAUGCACGAUCAGAAAAAAGUAACUCUUAAGCACAACCAAACCAACUCAAGCCAAACAUGUCUUAAGGCUUAUGCUGUUGGGUAUAUAUGUAGUCCAAGUGAGCAUCUGCAAUCAUCCUUCUAUUUUGACAUGCCACGUCUUUCUCAUCACAUUCCUCCAAUCCCAUCAACUGUAUAGACGAAAUUACACAGGAAAUUUCAAACAAAAAAUUAAAAAAAUUAUAAAAAAUUAACGAUUAAGUGGAAGCUAAACGUUCUUACACUGGGAAUUACUUCAUCUUCUUUAGCAAUUCCAUUAGCCCUACUAUUUGGAUGAUCU